ACACGACUACAUUAGAUACCCGCGUAGUCCCAGCCGUAAACUAUGCGCGUUAGGUGUAUCGGUGACCACGAGUUACCGAGGUGCCGAAGGGAAACCGUGAAACGUGCCGCCUGGGAAGUACGGUCGCAAGGCUGAAACUUAAAGGAAUUGGCGGGGGAGCACCACGACGGGUGGAGCCUGCGGUUUAAUUGGACUCAACGCCGGGAAGCUCACCGGAUAAGACAGCGGAAUGAUUGCCGGGCUGAAGACUCUGCAUGACUAGCUG
rnacentral:rRNA from 1 species